GACGGGGGCCCGCACAAGCGGUGGAGCAUGUGGUUUAAUUCGAUGCAACGCGAAGAACCUUACCUGGGCUUGACAUCCCAAGAAUCCCCUGGAAACACGAGAGUGCCCUUCGGGGAGCCCGAAGACAGGUGCUGCAUGGCUGUCGUCGGCUCGUGUCGUGAGAUGUUGGGUUAAGUCCCGCAACGAGCGCAACCCCUAUCUCUAGUUGCCAGCGAUUCGGUCGGGGACUCUAGAGAUACUGCCCCGGUUAACGGGAGGAAGGUGGGGAUGACGUCAAGUCCUCAUGGCCCUUAUGCCCAGGGCUACACACGUGCUACAAUGGGCGGUACAAAGGGUAGCGAUGCCGCGAGGUGAAGCCAAUCCCAAAAAGCCGUCCACAGUUCGGAUUGGAGUCUGCAACUCGACUCCAUGAAGCCGGAAUCGCUAGUAAUCGUGGAUCAGCAUGCCACGGUGAAUACGUUCCCGGGCCUU
rnacentral:rRNA from 1 species